GUACAUGAUAUCUGUUGGUUGGGACCGGAAGAUCAAUAUUUUCCCUGAUCUUCAUAGUGAAGCAUCUGAAGGGCCAUGCCCACAAGUAGAUUGGAUUGACAGUGUGGAAAAUGGUCACAAAGACGAUGUAUUAUGUGUGUCCUUCUGCCCUCCGAAUCUCGUGGCCUCUUCCAGUUAUGAUGGUGAAAUUCUCAUAUGGAAUCCCAUCUCAGGACAUGUUUGUAGCCGCCUCAGUGCUGUAAGCAGGGCAGUAAUGGAGGAUG